GACGAACGCUGGCGGCGUGCCUAAUACAUGCAAGUCGAACGAGAGCGACCUGUGCUUGCACUGGUCAAUCUAGUGGCGAACGGGUGAGUAACACGUGGGUAACCUGCCCAUCAGAGGGGGAUAACAUCCGGAAACGGAUGCUAAAACCGCAUAGGUCUUCGAACCGCAUGGUUUGAAGAGGAAAAGAGGCGCAAGCUUCUGCUGAUGGAUGGACCCGCGGUGCAUUAGCUAGUUGGUGAGGUAACGGCUCACCAAGGCCGUGAUGCAUAGCCGACCUGAGAGGGUGAUCGGCCACAUUGGGACUGAGACACGGCCCAAACUCCUACGGGAGGCAGCAGUAGGGAAUCUUCCGCAAUGGACGCAAGUCUGACGGAGCAACGCCGCGUGAGUGAAGAAGGUUUUCGGAUCGUAAAACUCUGUUGUUAGAGAAGAACAAGUGCUAGAGUAACUGUUAGCGCCUUGACGGUAUCUAACCAGAAAGCCACGGCUAACUACGUG
rnacentral:rRNA from 1 species